AGCAGCCGCGGUAAUUCCAGCUCCAAUAGCGUAUAUUAAAGUUGUUGCAGUUAAAAAGCUCGUAGUUGAAUUUCGGGGUCAGUAGGUCGGUCGUGCCACUGGUAUGAACUGGUUUUACUGAUUCCUCCCUCUUGAAGAACUGUAAUGCCAUUAAUUUGGUGUUGCAGGGAAUCAGGACUGUUACUUUGAAAAAAUUAGAGUGUUUAAAGCAGGCUUUAGCUUGAAUACAUUAGCAUGGAAUAAUGAAAUAGGACGUUUGAUCCUAUUUUGUUGGUUUCUAGGAUUGACGUAAUGAUUAAUAGGGAUAGUUGGGGGCAUUAGUAUUCAAUUGUCAGAGGUGAAAUUCUUGGAUUUAUUGAAGACUAACUACUCGCGAAAGCAUUUGCCAAGGAUGUUUUCAUUAAUCAAGAACGAAAGUUAGGGGAUCGAAGACGAUCAGAUACCGUCGUAGUCUUAACCAUAAACUAUGCCGACUAGGGAUCGGAUGAUGUUAAUUUUUUAAUGACUCA
rnacentral:rRNA from 1 species